UGCCAGCCGCCGCGGUAAUACGGAGGGUGCAAGCAUUAAUCGGAUUUAUUGGGCGUAAAGGGCGUCUAGGCGGGAAAGAAAGUCAGAUGUGAAAUUCCAGAGCUCAACUCUGGAGCCGCAUUUGAAACUUCUUUUCUUGAGGGUAGGCGGAGAUAGUAGAAUUCCACGUGUAGCGGUGAAAUGCGUAGAUAUGUGGAAGAAUACCAGUGGCGAAGGCGACUAUCUAGCUUAUUCCUGACGCUGAAGCGCGAAAGCAAGGGGAGCAAACAGGAUUAGAUA
rnacentral:rRNA from 1 species